rnacentral:lncRNA from 1 species
AUAAAGCAGGAUUUUUAAUAUAUAGUACCAAAAUUAAUUCUUCUAGAUCAGUGUGGUUCACUGAUUUAAGAAGAAUAAAUAACCUGCAUGGGUUAUAUAGAUACAAUGCUCCACGAGCUGAUAAUAUCCUGAUACAGAAACAAAAGCAGACAGACAGAACUUUUCUUGAACCAACAGUACCAAAAGAGAGUCAACCAACAGUAACAAACAUCCAGUCACCCAACAGCCACGUGCACAUAACAACUUUAGGGAACAUCAGUAACCACUCCAAGCUCAGAUGAGAAAUCAGUUAUCUCAGGCAGGGACCCAGUAUCAUCUACAACAGUAGAGGCAAUUAACUCUUUUUCCUUAAUCAUUGUAUUAAUCUCAGAGUUAACUUACUCAUAAGUAAUUUCUUGUGCUACUCUUUUUCCCUUAGCCUUAUCUAGCUCAGUAGUUACUUCCAAAUAUUUAGUCUUUAAAUCCUUAAUCUUAUCAUUUGAAUCUUUUAGCAUUAUUUUAAGGAUUUCAUUUUCCCUCAUGUAAUCAUGCGUGAUUUCUUCCUUAGCUCUACCUACAGGAAUGCUCCUAUACGGUUUAAUUUCCUCAAGUGGGACCUUAGGAACUACUAUCUUUUCAACAUUACAGUAGUCAAUCCUAUUAGCAUGGCCCCUAGGCAUAGGAAUACUAUACAGCUCAAAAACCGCAGUUAACAGCAACCCGUAAGGCAUAAAAUCCAAUUGAUAAGCCAGAAACAUAUGCAAGAUAAGCACAUAGAUAAUGUUGAACUCAACUUUGUUAAUAACUAACUGAUACAUCACUUUUAAAUCAGCAAAGUCGAAAUAUUGAUCAUUAUCCGGUUUCGGCAGAAUAUUAGCCCUAAUAAUCAUAGCAAGUUGUUGAUAUUCGGGCAGAAAAUGCUUAAAGGGUAUCCCACAAUCAGCAACACUUAGUCCAGUUGGCACAAGCUCCCCACAAGCCAGAAACAUAUGCAAGAUAAGCACAUAGAUAAUGUUGAACUCAACUUUGUUAAUAACUAACUGAUACAUCACUUUUAAAUCAGCAAAGUCGAAAUAUUGAUCAUUAUCCGGUUUCGGCAGAAUAUUAGCCCUAAUAAUCAUAGCAAGUUGUUGAUAUUCGGGCAGAAAAUGCUUAAAAGGUAUCCCACAAUCAGCAACACUUAGUCCAGUUGGCACAAGCUCCCCACAGAAAAAGCUAAUAAAUUUUUCAAAUUCAGUUUGAUUGAAUUUAAAUAAUUCAUAGAUAUUUGAGCAUGUUUGGGGGAAUAGUUCGGGACUAAGUUGUAAAGCCCUACACAUAACAUGAAAGUUCACGUGUAUUUCUUGAUUAUUAACCACUGAACUUAUAUCAAAUAUCCCAUUAUCAUCCUUUUUAGUUACCAUAUUAGCAUAAAAUUCACCCAUUAAAUGUGGAUGGUAACUCUGUCCCCGAUAAAAAAUAAUAUUACCCCACUUACUAUUCAUCAGUAUGUUGAAGGCAGGACACUGCUUAGGCACGUAAGCCAUCAUCCCGGGCUGGAUAGCCUUCAUCAUUUUUCCUAAUUUCCCAACGUUAGACAGAUUCACCAAACGCGGCACCAUGUGACUCAGAUUAUUUUUCCUCCUCUGAUAGGUUAAGGUAGGGACAGGAGGGUUGGGGUAGUUGUGUUUGUGAGGUUUUUGGUUGGGGUAGUAGGGAAAUGCAGGGGCUGGUGGAGUCUCGACAUUAUAUCCCGUGGGAUAAAAGUUGGGGAAAGGGUGAUUGUGUAGUGGAUUUGGGUUAGUGAUAGGGUGGUAGGGUUUGGCAUUUGGGUUAAGGUGGUGGUUGGUUUUGUGUCUUUUAGGGUGUGAGGAUUGGCUUUGGUGGUAGUUUCUGUUAUGGUUAAGGGAAUGAGGUUGAGGUUCAAGUAAAUCAGGGUGGUAGACAGGGUCACGGUUAGGGUUAGGGUUGGAGAGUUGUUUAAACUCCAUGGUUAGGGGAAAGGUGAUAGUGAUAGUGUAUGGUUUUUGGUGUAAAGGUGAAAGUGAUUGGGCAGUUGCCUUAAAUAGGCAAUAAAUAAGGUGCUGUUUGGGUAAGGGAAUAAGGGAAUAAGUUGAAAAAGACACUGCCGAGUGUCUGUGAAUGUGUGUGUUGGUUUAAAUUUGUUCCUUUGUGUGUGUGGGGUCAUAUCCAAAAGUGAAGCAUUAACUCUUCUUAAAUGCUCCAACUGGCAAAGGACAAGGUGAGGUAAGCAAGAGAUGCACAAAGGACAUCUCUGGCAAGGUUCAGAGGAGAAACUUCUCCAAGUCAAGGCGCCACUUAGCCAUUUUUAGUAUUAAAAAAUCUUCUGAUUAAGUUUUUGAAAAUCAAUUGGACUGACUGAUGUGAUAAGCAUCAAGACUUUUGAAAACUCCACUUUUGCACAUAAGAAUCGAAGCACAUAAUUCCAGUUUUUAAAAAAUGUUAAACACUUGUCCAUCCAUUUUAAUUAAAAUCCGUUCGCUCAAAUCUCUUGGGAAAACUCCUAAAUCUAUGUGGCCAUGUUACACCCCAGUGUUCCAGAUACUGGAAAUCUCAGGGAUUCCCAGCCAAGUCUUAGAGUGCUAGGCAAGUGUGUGUUUUGUGUAUUUGAUUUUAAUCAUGCAUCGAUUUAUUAAGCCAGAAUACACAAAGUUUUAACACAUUCAGCUUGUCACAAAAUUUUCAUACAACCAUUUUGAAAUGCAAUUAAUACAAGUCAGAGAUUUCAUGCACCUUAGGGACAAGAUUUUCAAAAAUCACAGACUGACAUUACAACUAGCAAGUUCAGGCAACAGAUUAAGCAGAAAUCGAAGAUUUUCAUUUUAACAUGCAAGUUUAGUAGCCAAUCCAGUUUUAACGAAAUUCCAAUUUCUUAAUAUAUUGAGAUUGGAAAGCUUAAGGCAUAUCUUGUUCGACAUUUUGUAAAAACAGUUUAUUCAAUUUAUCAAAAUCAGUCGAAUAGAGUUUUAUGAAAAAGUCGAAAAAAAACGUUUAAGUUUUCAUGAAAUCGAUUUUUCAAACAAUAAAGCAGCAUACAGCAUAAAUUCGAACAGUCCAUCACAAUUUUAAAAAUAUGCUUGUCAUGCAUAAAUCCCAAUAAAAUCCAUCCUUCCCGAAAAUUCACCACCUGCAAAAACUCUCAACACAUAAGUUAGAUAGUGGACACUAGAUUUUUAACCAUUUUGAAACAGAUUAAAAGGAAUUAGUCGGUCAUAUCUAACUGUCUCAUGCAAAAUUUCAUUUUAUCAACGUUUUACAAAGAGUUUUCCAGAAUUUUAUCAUAUAGACCAUGACAGCUUUCAUAAAUUUCUAACAAGCAAGAUUCAAGAGACAUGGCAUAACAAAUCAUGGUUAUCACAGAUUUGAGUAACAGAUUGAGCAGAAAAUCCAUGUUAAUAUGCAAAGAUCGAUAUUAUCACGAUUCAAUUUAUCAGGUAGAAACCAAUUGUCACACAUAAACCCAAAUUUACAGUUUCCAAAGUAGCAAAUCUGCAGAAUAGAUAGUGGCACCCCUAUGUUCUAAGCAAGUUUCAAACAGACAAAGUCACGUACCAAAUUAAGCGGCUUAAAAACAAAAUUUGCACAUAACAAAUUGUUACCAAAAAUCAACCAUGUUUUAAUCUUCAAGAAAACUUGCGAGUGUCAUGCAUACAAUUUUCUCAGUCAAUAAACAGAAUAUCACAGAUUUAUCAAUAUUAAGAACAAAUUCAAUUAAUUUAAGCAUGCCCGUAAUCAAUUCUCUAUACCCAAGCCAACCACAUAUUACAUUAUGAUUACAGAACCAGUUUAGUCAAGUCAUCUCAUACGCCCAACCAGACAUGUAUCAGCAAGCUACAAGCAUACAAACAUCGAAUAUGCAUAAAACUGUAAUUCACAAGUCGAAUCAAAAUACCAGCAAGCAAAAUUAUGGAUAUUUUGUUGUUUUAUAUUUCAAAAUACAUAUCUCAGUAUAAGUCGCAUAUAACAUAUAAAUCGGAUCAGAUGUAUAUAUUAGCAUGUUGUGGCAUACAUCAUAUAAAACAGAUAACAUACACAGAUAUGGAGUAAGAUUGACUUACCUGAGCCAAGGCAUCGAAUCUCUUGGACUUACCAGUGGACUGAUUUAAGUUAGAUGGAGAGGUUGAAAUCUUUAAGCGAGCUACAAGCAUCGACAGGCUCAGAUUCGUUCCAAAUCGCUUCGCCGAGUCAAGAAUCUUUGCACAGCUAUCAAACUCAACUCAAGAUCGAGUUAGGGUUUGAAAACCCCAAACUCUCAACGCGAUUAAAUCGCCCUCGAGAGAGAUGAUAGGGCCGAGUCAGAGGCUUAAACGAUCAAACACACAUCAAAUACUCGUCGUCGACUCGAGAUCGAGUUAGGGAGUGAAAACCCUAACUCUCAAAGACAUCUGAAUUGCUUCUCGAGUUCGAUACGAGGCAUCAUUAAGCCCAGAAAACACCAACAAAGCAUCAAUUAGACUCGUCUCCGAUUAGGGUUUGAAAACCCUAAAAAUUAAAAUCUGCAAAAACUCAAAGAUUAACGUUUACGCGAGCUCCAAAGCUUUAGAUCGAGUGAUUUCCUGCAAAAACACUCAAGAAAAACAUUAGUAUACAUCCAAGAGUCAAACCCUCAAAACAGGGUUUCAAAAAUCGAACUAUAGAUCAUCAAAGCGGGACUAUAUAUAUAUAUAGCUGUCUGGCUCCAACCUUAUCUCGCCGUCGAUUACGACGCCGGCGAGUACGGAGGUUGAAGACCACUUUUUCUCUUACCAAACCCAUAACAAAUUGAAGAGGUUUAUCGAAACUGAUGAUAAAACUCAAGAGAGGGAGUGUAUAUCUGAAGAGUUUUAGGAGAAAACACCGAAAGAUCCCAUCGGAUUUUGAUCGGAGACUCAAAGGAGUUCUCGAGUCAUCGAGCAAAGCCGAGAGAAAAAUAAAGAAAAUGAGGCGAGGGUUUUGUGUGUACAGUGGAGUAACACUGUUAAUAUAUAUAUAAACACAAAUCGAUGGCUAGGAUGAAGUAGGGUUAGUUUGCACGGCUGAGAUCAGAAAGUAAAAGCUGGGCCGGGUUAAACGAAUUUUGAGCUGGGUUGGUACAGAUUUGGACCGAGUGAAUAAGAUUUGGACUGAAAAAAAAUCUCCUGGGCUUUAGUUUUAAUGAAAUUGAAAUUUUGAAGACUUUUAUUCACAGUCCAAAAGCAAUAUUCCACCCGAUUUCGAAAGAUAUAUAUUUGAAGAUUUUCGGAAUAAAAUAUAUAUAACUCAAAAAUAUUAAUAAAUAAUAAACUAUCCUCUUAUUGUAAUAAAUUAUCCAAUUUUGAAGAAUGAUGUAUUUUGAAGAAAAUACUGGAUAAAAUAUUAUAAAGAGCAAUAGUCUAUAGAUAUUAAUCCUAAAUAUCUAAAACAAUUAAUUACAGGAAUAAAUAAUAU